CAAAAAUCUGCAGUUUUUCGCGAUUUCACGGCUGCUAACAUGCGAAACGUUAUUGAGUAUCAUGGACUGAGCAGACAAAAUAUCAAAGUAUAAAAUAUCAUUCUGUAGUUACAUAAAAAAUAGUACAGUCAACCAGUUUCGUAGGAUUGUAUAGUUAAUUCGUUUUAUUCUGCCAAACUGCUAAUCGCGCAAACAAUUCAAUAUUCUUUCAUUAAUUAACAGAUGUGCGCGAUUCGAAUUGAAUUGGUCACAAAAAUGCGUAGGCAUCCACUUUUAUUACGAUAAACAACCGGUCCACUCACAGAAAUACAUAUAGUUGAUAGUUAAGUUAUAAAUGGCACCAACCCAAAAACCGGCAGAAGAUUGUUCGGUGUCACCCAUUAAAAAUGCAAACACUGUGGAUGAUUUUAGCGAUAAAUUUUUCAUUUUUAUAUCUAUUAUGCGUUUCUGAGCCGAAUCGCGAUUUGUGCACGCAAGUAUAUAAAAAACAUGACGGAUCUCUUCUUCUGUAUAUGCUUGACCUUAAAAACAACGUCAAAACACCAGAAGAAAUCAAAAAAGGAAUCGCCGAAAACGACAAGUCUGCCGCAGAGUGUUUCUCAUACAUAAUUAGCCCUCCACCAAAUAGUGAGAAUCGCAUUUUGACCAGACGUUACUAUUCGUAUUAUCCGUAUUAUGGUUGGUGGCUAGUGGGUUAAGUAGAUUAAAUGUUGGUCUAUAUUA